ensembl:lncRNA
UCAACGUGGACAUGAUGUUACUCUGUCUUGUAAAAAUGUGAUACAAGGUCAGCAUAACUGUAACAGUACUGUCUGGAUCGUCAGUGAUUCAAGCAGCUCAGUAACACUCUUUGACCUUGGGCAGAAAAAACAAGUCAAACCUAAAUCAGACAGACUGAGUCUUUCUGCAGACUGUUCUCUGGUUAUAAAGAAGGUCACAGAUCAGGAUGUUGGUCGUUACACCUGCAGACAGUACAAAACAGAAGGAGGACCACACGAAGGUCCAGACUUUAUGAUUCAUCUGUCUGUUAUUAACAGUGAAGAUGUGAAAACGACAACAAAAUCAACAAUUAAACCAAAAUUAAAAAUAACAAAUACAUGGACAACAAAAGAGGAAGUAAAGACAUCGCUGACAACAACAUCAAAUCAACCAGACGAUUGUCUGUAUUUGCUGAGAUGCAUCAUUGUGUCUGUGGGUUUAGCAGCACUCUUAAUAUCUGCUGUUACAGUCAACAUGUGGACAAAAACUAAAGGAGCUUAAUGAUGAGGGUGAAGAUGGAGUGAACUAUGAAAACAUUGGAGACUCUUCUGCUUCUGUCAGACUCCACUGUGUGUGUGUGUGUGUGUGUGUGUGUGUGUGGCUGGGUCUAAGUCUGAGACUUGCUGAGCUCUGUGGGACAUUGUUAUGAUGGGUGAGGGUUGCUCCUCCCCACCACUCCCUGCUGGUCACUGUCCUUGAGAACUUUUAGGAACUCUUUCUGGGGCCUCCCUCCUCCUUCUGCACAUGGUUGUCAUCUGGACGUGUGGGCUUGGGUCUCAAGUACUCCUGGGGUGCUUUGGAUGGCCCUGCUGAACUGGAUUGUUCCUUGUCUACUUCUGGGUCCAGGGGUGUUGUUGUGGCCUCGGACCCUCAUUAUUAAGUCCGUUUUGUGACACACACACACACACACACACACACACACACACACACACACACACACACACACACACACUUAUAGCAAAAUUGACCAUGUACAUGUGUGUCUUUGUAUUUUCCUGAUGUGCUGUUUGCUUUUUAUAUAUUUUCUUACAAUUUUCUUACAGGUGCAACAGUUGGUGAUCUGCUGAGUUUAACUAUGACUGCUUCGUACUUUUAUUUGUCUCUUUUCUAAGAUUUUCUCUGCUUUUUAUUUUUUGUGUCACUCUCUUUUCCCCUGUCUUCUCUUUACCCCUUCUUACUUUUCAUUGCCUGUCAGCUCUUGUAUUGCUAAAUUACACAUAAACAAAGUGAAUACGAAUGAAAAUAAAUAAAAGAAAAAAAGAAAGAAAAACUAAGAAUGCAAGGCUACAGACAUUUCAUAUUGCUCCUUUGGGCAAAACAAAUGAGUUUGGCUCAACAGAGCAUUCAGAUCAUGUUUCUCCUGUCAGAAAAGAGGUUUCAAAAAAGGAACAAAAAAAAUUUUGAUUUUAUCUCAUGUUUAGCUAAAACCUUUUUCAUGUGCAGUUAGAUUUGUUUUUAGAUAAAUCUAACUUAAAACAAUAUUUUAUCCUUCAUUUAGUUAUGAUAAACAGGAUCUUUUGUUGUGUAAAUCUGCAGCUGCUGAUGUUUACUGAAGGUAAAACAGUGAGAUCAGAAUCACAGGUUUUUUUAUU